rfam:Nelumbo nucifera unplaced genomic scaffold scaffold00777, whole genome shotgun sequence
AGGCCAUGGUGUGGGCACUUUCUCAUCAACUCUUUCAUUCUCUCCCAAGACUCAUGGAUUUGUUCACCAGGUGUUUGGGUGAAUCCAGUGAUGGCUCUUCUCAUGGU